GGGGUUCUUCGGCAGGGAGGGAUGGAACAAAAGAGGGACUGACAGAUGGCAGAAGGAUGGCGGUGUGGCAGAGGGACAGAUCGGAAAGCAGAGAACUACCCUCUGAUCAGGAAGAAGAAAAGGUGAAGGCCUCAGACAACUUCAGUCAUCUGGAAGAAGCCUUCUGUUUGCAAGCCCUGAUGCUCAUGGUAGACUUUAACCACUGAAAUAUCUGCUGGAGUGUCACAGGUGAUCUAGAAGGUGCCUGAAGUGCAGAUGAUAACUUCCUAAGAUCAAGUAGCUAGUGAGGGAAAAUUCCCUUAUAGAUCUGAUUCCUAUCAACAAG
ensembl:lncRNA